rfam:Zootermopsis nevadensis contig26248, whole genome shotgun sequence.
GCCACGGUGGUCUAGCGGUUAGAACGCUGGCCUUGUAAUCCUGGGACCUCGGGUUCGACUCCCGGCGGUGCCC